AGAUUACAAAGUUCAUCAUCAACAUCGUUCAGUCAAGUGAGAUAAAAGGCUGUAAAAGAAGACUCCCCAUGAUCAACAAUUCUAUGGAGUUCCGGUCUGCGCCGGAAUAUGCUUGUUCCUUCAGUGUGAAUCCCACUCUUUCCACUCCCCCCUCAAAGAGAUCCCUUCCUUGCAAGAGCUGGAUGUGUCACCGGCUGAUGUGUACUCAAAUGGCAUGAUCAUCUCAAAUGGCACUUCACCCACCUGCUGGAUCCCACACCUGAGCCUAGCAGAAAACCAGUGAUGGAAAGCUUUCCCGUAACACAAACUACAUUUUUAUCUCCUGCCUCCCCAACUCUGCCCUCCAUGGAGCUGGCAUUGAAUUUGCUAGAUGACCCAGCUGUCCAGGAGUCUGAGGAAAUACCCUCUGAAAAGUUAGAUAGCAAACUGAUCAUGUGUGUCAUUUUCUUUUAUAAUUAUAACAGAUCUCUGUUCUGUUUUAUCAAUAACUGGAGGAGAUUCUUUUUCUGAUGAAAAAAAAAAAGUGAUUUAAAAUGCAAUUUUCUAGAUUUGUUGUGGUUAUUUUUAGGGCUG